CAGGCAAGAGCCUUGCCUCUCGAGUAAGCAGAGAGAAAAUGAAGCAACGCCAGGUCAUCUGGGAGCUGAUGGAAGAGCGCUUGCACCUGUCCUCCUUCCAAAUUGUAGGUGGUUUUAUACAGCAAGGUUCUGGUUACCCCCUCCUCCCAGGAGCUCAGCAGGAAGUCAGGGGCUGGCUACCCUAAGGUGCCAGGACACUUGGCACAGAGCAGGACCAGGUCCUCCACUUCCUACCAACACCAGGGUCUUCCUGGGCUCCAGGGAUGCGGCACUGCUGUCACCAGGAUAUAGUCAGCCCCAAAGCUGCUGGCACCACCUGAACUGUGGCCCGCAGCAUAGUGAGCCCUGUCUUCAGGUUCAGGAGACUCUUACCACCUUGAGCUGUCCAGUCUCAGAGGCUGUAUUUUUCAUCCUGCCCCUGAAGCGUCCAGAAUGCGUCCCCUCCCUUCCUGGCUGACAGCUGAGUGGGAGGAAGCUUCUCACUCCCUUUGCUGACCAGUGGGACACCCAUGGACUCCAGGGAGCCCCUCAGCUGGAAGCUGGCCUGGAGGCUCGCUCUCAUUUCCCAAGGGAGGGACACAUGAGGAAACCAGCAGUGUAGCCAGAGAAGCCUGUGGCAGGUCCAGCUUGAGGCUCCCCUCCACCACCCCGACCACCGCCCCUCACCCAGCCUCCAGCCUCCGACUGGAGCAGCCCGACGACAGGGACGUGCCUCACUGGCUGGGUGCCCCAGCGCCAGACCAGGCAGGACAUUGGAUGGCCGAGAUUAACUCAGAAGCCUCCAACUCACCCUUCUUUUACCACCAGGGAAGCUGAGGCUGGAAUGGCUGUCACUCAAGGUCUCCCUCAGCGAGUCUGCUUCCACAGGUGCUGUGACUCCUGCCUCGGAAGCAGGAGCUUUCCCUCAGUCUGUGUUCCCUCAAUAAACCUCUAUCGUCUUAGCAUCUGCUUCUGGGAGAACCUGAACCGACACAGAGGGUGACAUGGGCUCUCAGAGGGGCAUCUGGCUGGGGUAUUCACAGGGCAGUCGGGGAAGCUGUCUUUCCAGGGAGCCCUAAGCUGAGGUGUUGACGUUGAUGGCGCCCACUCAGUCCUAAAACCCCUAACCAUCACCAGGCUGAAAUCCGGCCCCUCCUGGGGCACUGAAGACUGAGGCCGAGAAGAAAUCCCGUCUGCUCUGCUGCUCCAACCCAGCUCUCCAGCCUCUUCCAAAAGAGAGGUGUAAAGGGGCCUCGAGAAUAAGAUCUGAGCAUCGGGACUGAUCUCAAGCUUCUGAAUCAAAGGGCCCAAGCCUAUGGAACAAUCAUUCGGACAGAAGAGGCUGAAGGCAGGAUUUAAACCCAAGUCACUAAAGUGGCACAAACUGGCAAAAUCUUUGACCCAAUAAGUUCACUUUUAGGAAUUUAUCCUACAGACACACAUACACACACAUAUGAUUAAUAUAGCAAUAUUUGUAACAGAAAAAUAUCGGAAAUCUAAACAUCUCUCAAUAGGAAGCUGCUUUAGACACUACGGUAUAGCCCACGUGCAAUCCUAUGUAGCCUUAAAAAAGAAAAAAAUAAACUUCAUUAAAUGAUACAUAAAAAGAUAUAAUGUUAAAAGAAAAAAGCAAGGUACAGAAGAGCGUAUGCAAUAUGCUACUAUUUCUGUAAAAAUGGGGACUACAUAUUUUCUUGUAUGUGUGUAAAACAUCUCUAG
rnacentral:lncRNA from 1 species